GUGCACCACUAUUUAACUGUCACUGAUUUGCAAGCAACUUGAUGUUUGUGAGAAUGUAAAUGAAUUUAACGUUAACAUUUGCAAAGGCUAUCGGCAAAUGCAGGCAAUAAAAAGAAGAUCAUGGCCGUAUCAUUUGACAGCAAUGUUGCUGAAGGCAUUGUUGAUGUUGAAAAACUAUCGUCUAGCAUGGAGACAGAGUUAGAUAAAUUACGUCAUGCAUUUACGAGUUCCAUAACAACGAGAAUUACAACAGCAUUUUUUGACAGUAUGAACAUCUCGUUGAAUAUCUGACGUCAUUUAAACUAAAGACAAAAAGUAUGUUUUGAAAACUCACUACAUCACAAA